UGAACCCUCCUAUUACAGUUUUCUUCCAAAAUGCAUUCAUCUUCUUUGGUGGUCUGGUGUUCAAGUUUGGCAGAACUGAGGACCUCUGGCAGUAAAGAUCCACUUUCUUCAAUCAAAUCCCACAGUCCAUCAACACACAAUUCCUCUGUACUUAUUGCUGCUUAUUUGCACUCUACAUUUCUUUUCCAACUCCUCGGCUGCCUCCCUUUCUUAAAUAUGUUCCUUUUUCCUUUCUUUGUCUUGUUUCCUGUGUGGCCACAGCGAGAGAAAUACAAAUCAAAUCCAGACUCUGCAGUCAAAAUGGACACAUUUAGACCUCACACCGCGUGUAUAAUAAAAAUGACUUGUAUACAAUGGAAUUACAAUG